UAGAACUUUCGGCUUGCAUACAUCAAAAAACUGAAAGUUUUACAAUUUAAUUUCAACAACUACAACAAAGUUUUGCGCUUGAAAAAGUAAAAACAAUUAAAUUGUUUGUGCGCCUAUUUCUGCAAAGCCUAAAGCACUAAAAACUUAAGAAUGUGCCGUGGACACUGUGGCUAUGGACCUUUUGGCUGCUGGGGUCCCUGGACAGCUGCUGGCGGCAGCUGUGGACAAAAUGGCGGCUGCAUGUGCAGUCCAUAUGGCGGCUGUGGUGGUCCAUGCGGUGGCUGCGGACCCAGCGGCUGCGGUCCCAUAGGCUGCGGACCUAGCGGUCCAGCUAGCUGGCCAUUCGGAUUAUAUACGUGCUAAGCGCUUUGGAAUGAAAUCAGGAGGCAGAAUGUGUUUUAUUUUUAAAUGCACAAAAUAGUUACAAAAUCCAAAAGCUUGAUCGCUCCCACUGUAAUCUAGCGAAUGGUUGAACUAAGCUAUAAACAAUAAGUGCUGUUAAAAUUGCUUGACACUCUCGACAAUAAAAAUGUAUUGUUUAUAAAAAAA